GUGUUGUAAGAAAGGAGAGAAGGUUAGCACUCCCCUAGAUAAGGACGGAAGGGACCUUCAUGGUCUAUACAACACAUGUAAGGCAAUCGUCUUCUUACUUUGAAGACGACCUUAUUUUUCC
rfam:Crassostrea gigas strain 05x7-T-G4-1.051#20 contig29739, whole genome shotgun sequence.